rnacentral:rRNA from 1 species
CUGGCUUGACGGGCGGUGUGUACAAGGCCCGGGAACGUAUUCACCGCGCCAUGGCUGAUGCGCGAUUACUAGCGAAUCCAGCUUCGUGGAGUCGAGUUGCAGACUCCAGUCCGAACUGAGACAGGUUUUGGGGAUUGGCGCGGUAUCGCUACCUGGCUACCCUCUGUACCUGCCAUUGUAACACGUGUGUCGCCCCAGACGUAAGGGCCGUGCUGAUUUGACGUCAUCCCCACCUUCCUCGCACCUUACGGCGGCAGUCUCGCCAGAGUGCCCAACACUACUUGAUGGCAACUGACGACAGGGGUUGCGCUCGUUAUGGCACUUAAGCCGACACCUCACGGCACGAGCUGACGACAACCAUGCAGCACCUCGAUACAGACAUAUUGCUAUGAUAAUAUAUCUCUAUAUUAAUCCUGUACCGUUCGAGCCUGGGUAAGGUUCCUCGCGUAUCAUCGAAUUAAACCACAUGUUCCUCCGCUUGUGCGGGCCCCCGUCAAUUCCUUUGAGUUUCAACCUUGCGGUCGUACUCCCCAGGUGGACAACUUAACGCUUUCGCUACGCUACUGAACUUUAUAUCGCCAACAGCUAGUUGUCAUCGUUUACUGUGCGGACUACCAGGGUAUCUAAUCCUGUUCGAUACCCGCACUUUCGUGCAUCAGCGUCAAUCGACGGCUCGUGUGCUGCCUUCGCAAUCGGGGUUCUGUGUAUAUCUAACAUUUAACCG